AUGGCACAAUAUCUGCCCUUUUGGCACUAAGCACAAGCACUAAGCACACCCUUGAAUGUCAAGUAUUGCAGGCUGCCUGAAGUAAUACAGAAUCCCCAUGGGAAAAAGUGCUGCAUCCAGUGUAGAAUACAGAGCACAGCAAUGAUGGGAGUAAAAGAUCCUGAUAUUAAAAGUAACUGUAAGUAGGAGGCAACCAGAGGACACUUAACAGGACACAUUGAAAAUUAAUAUAGUUUGCAGUGAAUCUAGUGACCAGUUACACAUCAAGCUGAAGGAUGGUUCAUCGAAUUGUUGAAAGGAAGCAUACAUAGCUCGAGGAAGAGUCACUGCUACAUUUACGUCAUGAAAAAAAAUCUUUUUUUGGAGUGCUUGGAAGCAUCCCCCUGCUGAAAGGCUCCAACAAGAGAAUGGAAUCCAGCCAGAGCAGGACCAUCCACCCUUCCACAGAGAUGUUUGAGAUCAUUGUGCCAUUACACAGAAAUAUAGAUUUGUGCAGCAAAAAAUGAACGGUAGCCUGACCUUUCUCCAUCUGUUAAGAAAAAGAAAUUCAUGUUUGCUCAUUUUCAAGAAUAGAAACAGCACUGUAGUUUCUCUGUUGGAGGGAAUAAAGAUGAGCGAAAAAAUUUUGACAUUUAGAA